UUUCCGUAGGUGAACCUGCGGAAGGAUCAUUAUUGUAUAACCGAGGUGCGAGGGCUGUCGCUGACCCGAAAGGUCGUGCACGCCCGAGUGCCCUCACACACACCCAUCCCACCCCUCUGUGCACCACCGCGGGUGUCCCUCUGUGGCUUGUGCGGCGGGGGGCUUACGUUUGCACACAAACAUUGUAUGAAGUGUAGAAUGUAUUUUUUGUUUUCGCGAUCACGCAAUCAAUACAACUUUCAACAACGGAUCUCUUGGCUCUC
rnacentral:misc_RNA from 1 species